CCGAAGUCGUACGCUCAAACGACUGAGCCACCCAGGCGCCCCUGAGGCUUUUUUUUUUUUACUACCCUCUAGCCCUGACUCUGAUUUAAUCAUCACACUAGCCAAGCAACACCAAGUUUGAAUCCUGAUGGGAAAAACAGAAGCCUUGGCUAUGCCCUUGAUCACUAUCAUUUGUCUUCAGAGGGACCCGGAACUUUACAUCCAACCUGAAAAGCCAGAAUGCCUCAAGCCAUAGCAGCCAACAGUCCCCUCCUCGCCAGGAACACCUGUGAUGUCCAGUUCCGUUAUAGGCUAAUACCAGGCAAAUUACUGGCAUCACCAGUCUGAACGACAAACUCAAGCAACAGAAGACAAGUACCUUGGCACAGGUGGCUUCUUCCCUGGCAGGGGGCUACUUCUGUCAUGCCUUUCGGUGGCUGGCGGUAAAGGAGGCUUUUGCAUCUUGGGUAAGUGCUCCCCGAGAGGCCUGCAGAGUUGAGAGAAAGGAGGUGUGGGUAAGAAACUGAACUGUUUCUACAGCACAUACCGUGUACCCUCACAUGGAUGCAACAAGGCACCUUACCUUCCCACUGGAGCCGAGGGCUGUAAAACAGGAGGGAAGACAUGUGAGUGUCCUCAGCACUUCUCAGAACAAAGACAAGAUACAAAAUAAGACAAAAAUGAAGACAAACAAAACAAAAUAGGGAAACAGCUUACCUUGUCAGGAAACGCCGGCUUCUUUCCUGUAAGUAACAAAUAGCAGGCAGGCCUUGAAUACUUUAUCAGCUAAGCAUGAAGUAUUAAAACAUAGUUUGGGCGGCGGGGGCGGGGGCUCUGGGAUGGCUCAUUCAGUUGAGCGUCCAACUUCAGCUCAGGCCGUGGUCUCACUGUGUGUGGCUUUGAGCCCCACAUUGGGCUCUGCACUGACAGCACGGAGCCUGCUUCAGAUUCUCUGUCUCCCUCUCUCUGCCCCUCCCUCACUCACGCUAUCUCUCUCUCUCAGAAAUAAACAUUAAAACACAGUUUGCUGAAACCAUAAAUCCGAGCGCCUGAGGGGGUUGAUUGGGUUUAAGCAUUGAAGAAUCGUAGACUUACAACCUGGAAGAUCCCGAUAUAGAACAGCUAAUUUUACAGGCUCAGAGAAAUUAAGGGACUUGCCCAAGAUCACACAGAGUUGUGUACAUACAAACAGUAUUUUGGAUUCUGUGAUUCUUUUCAACAUUUUAUUUUGUGUAACCGAUGAUAAGAAGGAUUAAUGUCUCUUGGGGAUUUUAUGCUUCUUUCACUGACUAAAUGGUUUUUUGUUUUUUUUGUUUUUUUGUUUUGUUUUGUUUUGUUUUGUUUUUUGUAUAGCCUAUGUUUAUGUCUGUAUCUGAAAUAAACCUAUUUGACAUGGAGGGGUUAAUUCUCCUCCAAUCCUGUGGUACACUUGACAUUAUAUAAAGUAUUACACUUACUUUCUGGAAAAACGCUUAGUUUGGAGAAGAGCAUUUCAGGAGAGUCUCCUGGUAGAGUGCAAAUCAUUUUGUUUUAAUUUUGUUGGGUUUUGUUUCUUUCUUCCUUUUACUUUUCUCUUGGAAAAGAUGGCAUGCAGGCUGAAGAAAUUCUAGGUGAAUCUGAGAACUCUGCAUUGCAAAGUUAUUCAAAGCAAUUUAUUUUUUUCUGUCUGAAAUCCCUUCGAGUAGAUUAUGUCCUAUGUCUUCAGUGCAAUAAAAGUACCAUUUAACUGUAUUCAACCAGGUCUACCAGCAAAUUCUGUAUGCCUUGAACAAGUUACUUAAGGUCUUGAGUCUCAAUUUCCUCAUCUGUAAAAUCAGGAUUAUAGAUCUAAAAUGUAUAGGUUUGUUGUUAGGAGCGGGUGACAAUUUAUAUGCAGGGUCAGGCACAUGACACAUGGGUGCUGACAACUGCUAGAUAGUUCUUUCUUUCCCUCCCUCCUAUACCUCUGCACAGUUAACACCCUAUGGUGAAUGAUGAUAUGAUUUUCACAACUUGAGGUACAGCCCAAGCCAUGAAGAAGUCUUAAGAAUCUUGUCCUACUAUGAGGAACUCACUGCCCAGGGGUAGGCUGUUUUGGUGGUAUAAGAAAUGUGUAUUAUUCAUGAAACUUUGCCUUAGGAUGAAAACUCAACUUUACAGGGUUACCCAGAAAACCUAUAUUUAUAUUUUUAGGCUUAAGUAGAUUUUCUUUUU